UGAGAUCCAUCAUUGUGUACAGAAAGAU
rnacentral:piRNA from 1 species